UUCUGCCUGACCAGCUGUGAGAUCAUGAGCCGGCCACUCCGUCUCUUUGAGCCUCCGUUUCUCAUCUGAAAACAGGAGAAGACAGAAAGUCUCAGCCAGUGGAUGAAAGCAGCAGUUUUCACAGCGACCACUGAAGUCUCGUUCAGAGGAAAGCAUCCCAUGGCAAAAGAAGUGUCUAACACAGUUCCCACAUCUGGACGCGCAUAAAGUUCACCCAAGGAUAUAGGAAACGACAAGAAAAACAAAGAACUUUUCUGAGUUCAAACCCAGAAAGCCACAUAGGGUCUUCUGUCCUGGAGGAGACCCAAGUAAGAAAUCCCAGCAUGCUCAUGCAAGUAGCACAGCACCCUUUCAGAAAAGGUGACCGCGCUGUGUCACCCAACUGGGACCUCUUCCAAAGGACACUUGGAUUGCACGCCAGAACUUCAGGCCAGACAGGGGCAGUCGAAACAAAUGAGGACACACAGUCACUGUACUUGUAAAAGCUCUUACUGGGAGGCUGAAAAGUCAGCACUCUUCGGCGAUGUCCAAAAGCAAGAUAGGAACAAACCAUAUUGAGAAAUAAAAACUUAAGCAGUAAAACUCAGCUGGAAAAAAAAAUCCAUCCAAGUAAAGUAGCCAGGAAGAUUUAAAGUCAGUUGAUUGCCAAACUUAAUAGGGGAGUGAGGAAAUAGAAGAAAGGACAGGAGAAAAAAGCAGACCCGGUUGGAUCAAAUCUGUCUCAAACACCCAGCACUGAUAAAACAAGUGGCAACAUAAAACCUCAGGGAGAGCUUGUAGCAGACCAGCUAAGACCAACUAAAAUGGCUCUCCAAGAAAACACAUCUUGAAGCGGGGGCAAAAUCUAAAUGGAAAUCAGAUGACUUAGGAGAACAAAAGCUGGCAGAUGAGUCAUAAAAAUACCCUUGACAAAAGAAAGUAACAGAAAAACAGAGAAGCA